AUGAUCUGUACAGGGAGCCAAGUUCCUCGAAUCGAGAUCACAUCGAAAACAAGACGCAUAGAUCUACAGAAUGUAAAAGGGAGCCAAGUUCCUCAAAUCCAGAUCACAUCAAAUCCAGUGAUCAGAACAAGAGUACUUAUAACACAGAAAGAGAAGGGCAAAGGGAGGACUCAUGCUGCUGCUUCGCUUUCCCCGGCGGCACAGGCGCCUCCCAACCAAGCCCCAUCAGGCGCCUCUCAUGGAUGCGUCAGACGCGGCGUCCGGAAGCAGUCGUCGUCCUCGCCGUGCAUGUGUGGUUUGGUGACGGCGCCGCGGCACAGAAAGACAAGAGGAACGAGAUCAGGGACGCAAAGAUUCGAAGAAGACCAGGAGGGGGCGGAUCGGAGCAGCGUGUGUUUAAUGGAGUUGUCAGGUAUGGGGAGUGGCAUACCAGAGCUGUGGCAUUGCAGAUCGGGACGCCUCGCUUCGGAUCCACCUGAGACAUCGCCGGAGAGGAGCGCCGCCGCGGAUCCAACCGGAACGGGACCGGAUCGACCACCCGCAGGUGCUCCAGGAAGCGCGCCCCGCCCGUCCCGCUCGGUCGCGCAGCACACAGCACGCAGCACCAAGGUCCGUCAAUGCAGGAGAUCGAUGCGGUGGUCGGCGGGCGAAAGAGUGCGGCUGCCUGCUCAUCGACGCGGGCGGCGAUGCGGCAGGGGAAGGGGAAAGGGCGAGAUGCAUAGCUAUAAAGUGAUGGGUUCCAACAUACGCACUGAUGUAACGAUGACAGACCGCACUGAAACACCACGAGAAGAGAAUAUAGGAGACAUGGAUAUGGACUUUGGAGAUGCACGGAAAGAAUCCAUUGAGGGUUCAGAUGCAAUGUCGCUGAAAGGGGACGAAAAUUCACAACAUAAUAAUGUCGAAGAGGUUAUAUCUCAUAACAAACCAAAAAAGGAUGCUAAUUUACAUGUUAUCCCACAAGACUAUGUUUGUACCCCUGGAGAUAUUACAGUCAUCGAAUCAAUCAAGUCUGCCCCCAAGAAUACCCAAUUCGUGGACAUUGGAGAUGCCUUGUUAUCAACCGACGAUUUGGAAUGUCUUAUGAAAGAUGAUAUGUUCUUACAUGACGGUGUGAUAAAUGCUUACAUAUAUUGCAUGCUUGCACACGACCAUCUACAAGACAGGGCGGGUGAAAAGUUAUUCAUUCCGAUUAACAUGCCGGGCUACCAUUGGUAUCUAGCAGUCGCCAAUGCCAAAAAACGUGAGAUUCAAGUAUUGGACUCACUUGGUUCUCGGGUCAAACGCAAUGACCUUGCUACUACGCGUAUCAUGUGGGUUGUUUAUGCUAAAUUAUAUGAAAUACUGGACAUCACAUGGACUGUCAAACGAGUUCACCCAGAACUGAAUAAGCUAAAAGGAGGUUCCAUAUACCAUCAACCUGACGAUGAAGAAACUUUAGCUGAUUCUGAUCUCGAGAUCCUGGAGAAUCCAUCUGACGUACUCAAAGACAAACGUCCUGCCCCAAUCACUAUCAUACCCACGGACCAACGUGAAUUACUUGCCGGCCUUUGCAACUACAUCAUGUCGAUCAAUGAUGCCGGGUGUUUGGAGGAGGUAUGGGUUCGGAGCUCGACACCCGAUCCAUUGGGCUUAAGUCUUAAGAAACUUCAGUGCAUACUUAACAUGGAGCAGCCCAUGGACAAUGAUUGCUGCAACACCGCCGUGCGUAUGCUGGCAUGUGAUGAGGGAGUAUUGUUCACAGACCCUCCUGUACACUACAUGGAUCUACGAUUUUGUUCCAUGAUGCUAGAGUCAACACGAGGUCAGAAGUUUUGCGAGAAGGAAACUAUCCAGACGUUGGCAACAUUAUUUGAUAGCUGGCCUGGGAUGGACAGCGACAUCUCAUCGUGCAACAAGAUUUAUCUUCCCUAUGCAUCCAUCGGUUGA
rnacentral:rRNA from 1 species